rnacentral:rRNA from 1 species
UACGUAGGGUGCGAGCGUUGUCCGGAAUUACUGGGCGUAAAGGGCGCGUAAGCGGCCUGCUAAGUCGGAUGUGAAAUCCCUCGGCUCAACCGAGGAACUGCAUCCGAUACUGGCGGGCUUGAAUCCGGGAGAGGGAUGUGGAAUUCCAGGUGUAGCGGUGAAAUGCGUAGAUAUCUGGAGGAACACCGGUGGCGAAGGCGGCAUCCUGGACCGGUAUUGACGCUGAGGCGCGAAAGCUAGGGGAGCAAACGGG